rnacentral:rRNA from 1 species
CCUACGGGAGGCAGCAGUGAGGAAUAUUGGUCAAUGGUCGGGAGACUGAACCAGCCAAGCCGCGUGAGGGAUGAAGGUACAGAGUAUCGUAAACCUCUUUUGUCAGGGAACAAAGGCGGGGACGUGUCCCCGGAUGAGUGUACCUGAAGAAAAAGCAUCGGCUAACUCCGUGCCAGCAGCCGCGGUAAUACGGAGGAUGCGAGCGUUAUCCGGAUUUAUUGGGUUUAAAGGGUGCGCAGGCGGUCUGUUAAGUCAGCGGUAAAAGCCCGGGGUUCAACCCCGGCCCGCCGUUGAAACUGGCAGUCUCGAGUUGGAGAGAAGGAUGCGGAAUGCGCGGUGUAGCGGUGAAAUGCAUAGAUAUCGCGCAGAACUCCGAUUGCGAAGGCAGCAUGCCGGCUCCACACUGACGCUGAGGCACGAAAGCGUGGGUAUCGAACAGGAUUAGAUACCCUUGUAGUC